UACGAGUGCCUCAAGCGUUAUCCGGAAUCACUGGGCGUAAAGAGCAUGUAGGUGGUCUUGUUAGUCCUCCGUUAAAGCUCCUGGCUUAACCGGGAAGAUGCGGAGGAAACGGCAAGACUAGAGGGCGCGAGAGGUUUGCGGAACUCAUGGUGUAGGGGUGAAAUCCGUUGAUAUCAUGGGGAACACCAAAUGCGAAGGCAGCAAACUGGCGCGCUCCUGACACUCUAGUGCGAAAGCGUGGGUAGCGAAUGGG
rnacentral:rRNA from 1 species